CCUACGGGAGGCAGCAGUGGGGAAUAUUGCGCAAUGGGCGAAAGCCUGACGCAGCGACGCCGCGUGAGGGAUGAAGGUCUUCGGAUCGUAAACCUCUGUCAGCAGGGAAGAACGGUCACUGUGCUAAUCAGCAGUGAAUUGACGGUACCUGCAAAGGAAGCACCGGCUCACUCCGUGCCAGAAGCCGAGGUAAUACGGAGGGUGCGAGCGUUAAUCGGAAUUACUGGGCGUAAAGCGCUCGUAGGCGGUAUGUCAAGUCAAGGGUGAAAUCCCCGCGCUCAACGUGGGAACUGCCGUUGAAACUGGCAAACUAGAGUGUGUGAGAGGAUAGUGGAAUUCCAGGUGUAGGGGUGAAAUCCGUAGAUAUCUGGAAGAACAUCAGUGGCGAAGGCGACUAUCUGGCACAUAACUGACGCUGAGGAACGAAAGCGUGGGUAGCAAACAGGAUUAGAUACCCGUGUAGUC
rnacentral:rRNA from 1 species